rnacentral:rRNA from 1 species
GAUGAACGCUGGCGGCGUGCCUAAUACAUGCAAGUCGAGCGAACGGACGAGAAGCUUGCUUCUCUGAUGUUAGCGGCGGACGGGCGAGUAACACGUGGAUAACCUACUUAUAAGACUGGGAUAACUUCGGGAAACCGGAGCUACUACUGGAUAAUAUUUUGAACCGCAUGGUUCAAAAGUGAAAGACGGUCUUGCUGUCACUUAUAGAUGGAUCCGCGCUGCAUUAGCUAGUUGGUAAGGUAACGGCUUACCAAGGCAACGAUGCAUAGCCGACCUGAGAGGGUGAUCGGCCACACUGGAACUGAGACACGGUCCAGACUCCUACGGGAGGCAGCAGUAGGGAAUCUUCCGCAAUGGGCGAAAGCCUGACGGAGCAACGCCGCGUGAGUGAUGAAGGUCUUCGGAUCGUAAAGCUCUGUUAUUAGGGAAGAAAAUAUGUGUAAGUAACUGUGCACAUCUUGACGGUACCUAAUCAAAAAGCCACGGCUAACUACGUG